rnacentral:lncRNA from 1 species
GCCCGAUCCAAUCUUCUUGUUCCUUUCUCGAGGAUAAGGGUAAAAAGAGUGCCAACUGACGUGAAAAUUGUUGGAAAGACGUGCAGGAAAAUACUCACUCUAUGCACAGCCAAUGGCAAUAUGCUGGGACAAAAGGAUCAUUGCUGCACAUGUACAAAAGCUACUUAGACUAGUUAACAUGAUCAUAUCAUUUAUUCUUGGUAGU